GUGCAUGCGGGUGCUAUAAUGCAAGUCGAGCGGACAGAUGGGAGCUUGCUCCCUGAUGUUAGCGGCGGACGGGUGAGUAACACGUGGGUAACCUGCCUGUAAGACUGGGAUAACUCCGGGAAACCGGGGCUAAUACCGGAUGGUUGUUUGAACCGCAUGGUUCAAACAUAAAAGGUGGCUUCGGCUACCACUUACAGAUGGACCCGCGGCGCAUUAGCUAGUUGGUGAGGUAACGGCUCACCAAGGCAACGAUGCGUAGCCGACCUGAGAGGGUGAUCGGCCACACUGGGACUGAGACACGGCCCAGACUCCUACGGGAGGCAGCAGUAGGGAAUCUUCCGCAAUGGACGAAAGUCUGACGGAGCAACGCCGCGUGAGUGAUGAAGGUUUUCGGAUCGUAAAGCUCUGUUGUUAGGGAAGAACAAGUACCGUUCGAAUAGGGCGGUACCUUGACGGUACCUAACCAGAAAGCCACGGCUAACUACGUGCCAGCACCCCGCCGGUAAAA
rnacentral:rRNA from 1 species